UCAAUAGCACAAGAAUAAUUUCUGUACCAAUUAAUGUAACCAUUUAGCAAUGAGACCCGACAUUCGGAUAGGCCGAAUGUAUGCUCAGCAACACUCAAGAAUCGAUAUAGAUAUAGUUACCGUAUAAUUCAUCCUUUUGACUCUCGAUGCUCAAGGAUGACUUAAGGUUAAACUGUCAAUCCUAGAUGAGUGAUCCACAUUAUGUUUCAACUUAAAAAAUUUUGUAACUCCUCACUAGGACUACUCUGGCCAGAGUUUUAUUGAAUUGAAACAUAGUGAUGCAUCAUCUCCAAUUUAUUUAAAGCGGUCAAUCCCAUCUUAAAUCUCACUC
rnacentral:lncRNA from 1 species